rnacentral:lncRNA from 1 species
AGGUCUUGCCUCAUGUAACGUUACUGAACGGAGGAUGUACUUUUAAUAUAACGUCUGUGAAUGUAUUUUGUCAUAUUCACAUAAGAUUUUACAUUAUCUGUUCUCUUUGAGGCGUUAACAGACGGUUAUGUUCACGGUUACGCUCAUGUGAAUUUGUCUUUUUUUUCGCGGUUAAACUGAAUGUAUGUUUGUCUCCUAAAGGAAACGGCAUUGUGUAGUAAAGACUAGCAUAAUUAUUUUGAGGCUGUUGAAGUGGUAACUGUUAAAAGUAUGUUUUACAUGUAAUAUUUCAGACUUGUCCAGCUCCUGUCUUCAUUGUCCUCGCGCUGAGAGUUAAAGACACAGAAGCUGUUUGUGUGAGGAGUCACAGACCUGUGUGAGGAUGAGGAGGAGGUGUUCUUCUGAAGAGAAGGCCAGACGGUUUAAGGAGAGUAAACUUCAGAAUAACAUCAAGUUAUCUUUAUUUUGACUAAGACUAAAAUAAUGUGUGUCUUUUUUUUAGAUGUUGAAAUCCAGAGACAAGAUAACUUCAUUCUUUUGAGACUGAUGUAAGUUAAAUUAUUAUUACUUUUUUUUUUUGAAAAUUAAUGUUUCUGUUGUGUCCUGCCUGUUAACUUCACAUUUUUAUGCAAAAACAGUGUGAUUUUAUAUAUGUAUGUAUGUAUAUGUUAAUAUUUUAUUGAAACCAUUGAUGUCCCUCUUUGCAGAACUCAAACUAACUGGAGUUAAGGACACACAAGUGCUUGUGUGAGAAGGUGGUUUUCUCAGCUUCUUCUGAAGAGAGGGAAAGAUCGUUUAAGAUGUUAAAAGCAAGAGACAUGGGAGAGCACCAUUCCUUUGAGAUUUUAUGUAAGUUAUUUUUAGAAAAUAAAUUUUUCUGUUGUCUCCUGCCAGUUUACUUCACAUUUUGAUGCAACAACAGUGUGAUUACUUGCUCAUUUCAUUAAAACCAUUGAUGUCUGUGUUUUUUAUUGCAGAACUCAAACCAACUUUGGAGUUGUCUGAUUUGGAGAGUCAUUAUUUUCAAAUGUGUUUCUCUUAGGCCACUGAUGAAGAGCAGGCGGUGACUGGGAUGAAUCCUGGUCAGAGAGGAGAAUCUUCUUUCCACCUAAACUGAUGCAGCGGUGGUUUUAAAGGAGGACGCUGCCCUGGAUGAUGUAGAAGAUGUCAGAUGCUGUGCUGAUGGGGUUUCUUCAUGAUUACAUCAGUUAUGCUAAAGAGAUCAUGAAAAUUUACCGUGAUGCAUGAUCUGUAUUCAUGGACUUUGAAACAAACUGUAAGUGUAUAAUUU